UGGCGGACGGGUGAGUAACGCGUGGGUAACCUGCCUUGUACUGGGGGACAACAGUUAGAAAUGACUGCUAAUACCGCAUAAGCGCACAGUAUCGCAUGAUACGGUGUGAAAAACUCCGGUGGUACAAGAUGGACCCGCGUCUGAUUAGCUAGUUGGUAAGGUAACGGCUUACCAAGGCGACGAUCAGUAGCCGACCUGAGAGGGUGACCGGCCACAUUGGGACUGAGACACGGUCCAA
rnacentral:rRNA from 1 species